rnacentral:lncRNA from 1 species
CAACCGCAAAAUUUGUACUUCACUGUUUGAUUUCAUGUAUAAUAUUGUCCUGAAGACGCCACGCUUGUUGGCGAAACAUGUCGACCACAAUAAAUUAAUCACCAUGCGGUAAUUGAUGGGUGUUGUUGUCUUUAAUUACGUUUAUUUGCUUUUAUAGUGAAAGACAACUGUGAAUACCGCGUGGUAUCCACCCGCUAUUACCCAACCGCACGAUAACCACUUCAGGUGUUGGUUCACCACUUUUCAAAUCUAUCAAAAAGUUUAAAAUUUGCAAGCUGUAGUUUUUAUUUAGCUCACCUGGCCUGAAUGUUCAGUAAAGUAAGAUCUACAAACACAUCACAAUCACCAAAACACAUAGACCAAGGUGAGCUACACAGGCUCUUAAGAACCUCUAGUUAAAUGAAAUUUAAGAGAGGGUUGAACCCUUUUAUUUCAAUUUACAGACUAAAUUUACAGUUAAACUCUAAUAUUUGUAUUCUACAUCUAGAUGAUUUGUAUAUUUUUUGUUUGAAUCAAUGUACAUAUUUUAAUGUCAUAAAUUACCGAAUUAAAUGACACAGCUUCAAUUGAGAAAAAUGGGUGAUGGGUGAUAUUCAACAAAUAGCUGUACAAUGUAAUUUGAAAUUGCAAAAUGAUAUUGUGUAUUUUUUUUAAUAUUAUAUUUACCUUACAUUGAUAAAUAUAUGUGUUAAUUACUGGUAUACAAGAAAAGGUAGAAUUUCCAUACCCGCCUUGUCACCACCAUAAUACCUUUUUUUAUUGAGGUUAAAACGUGGUUUUAUUGAUUUAAGAAAAAAAUGAAUAUCACUGACACCAAAGGUUGUUUUUGCAGUGUUGCUUAGGUUUUUUUUACUUUUUUAGGGUGUUAAUCGGUAUUUUUAUUUCUCAUGUCCUUAUAGCACAAUUUCAUUUUUAAAUGCUAUCCAAAAGUAAUAAAUAUGAAUAAGGUUGUUUGUCUGUCAGAACUAGCAUGCAUUUGUCACAAAAUCUAUCCAGCUUUUUCAGUGUACUGAGCUAGUACAGAUUUUUGUUUAGGGGCCAGCUGAAGCACCCCUCUGUAUGUGGGAUUUUAUAAAUUUAUGACCGCCAUGCAACAACCAAACAAUAAGUAUGAAAAACAAGAUAAGAUGUCAAUUAUUAAAAGUUCAUAUACUUUACAGUAAGUCGCAACAUGUGAACCUCUGCAUGCUUUAUGCAUGGUCUUUUGUGUUGCUGACGUUGUCUCAAGUUUCUGAAAUUAAAAUUCAAUUGAGAUUUAAAUGAAGGAAAGAAUUUCUUUCAAAUAAUGCUCUUCCCCAUUACAGUAUUGAUAAAUAUUUUGAUUGACAUUUUUUUGUUUACAGUUAAAUAUGUAUUUUAUCAUAAAACUUUGAA